rfam:Cyanidioschyzon merolae chloroplast DNA, complete genome, strain: 10D.
GGAGAGAUGGCUGAGUGGUCUAAAGCGUAGCAUUGGAAAUGCUAUGAAAACUUAUGGUUUUCCGAGAGUUCGAAUCUCUCUCUCUCCU